rnacentral:rRNA from 1 species
AUUGAACGCUAGCGGGAUGCCUUACACAUGCAAGUCGAACGGAGUGGCGAACGGGUGAGUAAUGUAUCGGAACGUGCCCAGUAGCGGGGGAUAACUACGCGAAAGCGUAGCUAAUACCGCAUACUCUUGGAAUGGCCGAUAUCGGAUUAGCUAGUUGGUGGGGUAACGGUUCUCCAAGGCGACGAUCCGUAGCUGGUGUGAGAGGACGACCAGCAAAAAUGGGACUAAGAAACGGCCCAGACUCCUACGGGAGGCAGCAGUGGGGAAUGUUGGACAAUGGGGGAAACCCUGAGCCAGCCAUCCCUCGUGUGAGAGGAAGGCCUUCGGGUUGUAAAGCACUUUUGGCAGGAAAGCGGUACCUGCAGAAUAAGCACCGGCUAACUACGUGCCAGCAGCCGCGGUAAUUC